rnacentral:rRNA from 1 species
GAUGAACGCUGGCGGCGUGCCUAAUACAUGCAAGUCGAGCGAACAGAUAAGGAGCUUGCUCCUUUGACGUUAGCGGCGGACGGGUGAGUAACACGUGGAUAACCUACCUAUAAGACUGGGAUAACUUCGGGAAACCGGAGCUAAUACCGGAUAACAUAUUGAACCGCAUGGUUCAAUAGUGAAAGGCGGCUUUGCUGUCACUUAUAGAUGGAUCCGCGCCGUAUUAGCUAGUUGGUAAGGUAACGGCUUACCAAGGCAACGAUACGUAGCCGACCUGAGAGGGUGAUCGGCCACACUGGAACUGAGACACGGUCCAGACUCCUACGGGAGGCAGCAGUAGGGAAUCUUCCGCAAUGGGCAAAAGCCUGACGGAGCAACGCCGCGUGAGUGAUGAAGGUCUUCGGAUCGUAAAACUCUGUUAUCAGGGAAGAACAAAUGUGUAAGUAACUGUGCACAUCUUGACGGUACCUGAUCAGAAAGCCACGGCUAACUACGUG